rnacentral:rRNA from 1 species
UACGUAGGGGCCUAGCGUUGUCCGGAUUUAUUGGGCGUAAAGAGCUCGUAGGCGGUUCGGCAAGUCGGAUGUGAAAAUCUCCACGCUCAACGUGGAGGGGCCAUUCGAAACUGCCGUGACUCGAGGUCCGGUAGGGGACGUGUGGAAUUCCCGGUGUGAGCGGUGAAAUGCGCAGAUAAUCAGGAGGAACACCGGUGGCGAAGGGCGGGGUCUCCUGGGGCAAACAACGUGACGCUGGAG